rnacentral:rRNA from 1 species
UCCCCAGACUCCUACGGGAGGCAGCAGUGGGGAAUAUUGCACAAUGGGGGGAACCCUGAUGCGGCGACGCCGCGUGAGUGAAGAAGUAUUUCGGUAUGUAAAGCUCUAUCAGCAGGGAAGAAAAUGACGGUACCUGACUAAGAAGCCCCGGCUAACUACGUGCCAGCAGCCGCGGUAAUACGUAGGGGGCAAGCGUUAUCCGGAUUUACUGGGUGUAAAGGGGGCGCAGACGGCGAUGCAAGCCAGGAGUGAAAGCCCGGGGCCCAACCCCGGGACUGCUCUUGGAACUGCGUGGCUGGAGUGCAGGAGGGGCAGGCGGAAUUCCUGGUGUAGCGGUGAAAUGCGUAGAUAUUAGGAGGAACACCAGUGGCGAAGGCGACUUUCUGGACUGUACCUGACGCUGAGGCGCGAAAGCGUGGGUAGCGAACGGGAUUAGAUACCCCAGUACC